rnacentral:rRNA from 1 species
CCUACGGGGGGCAGCAGUGAGGAAUAUUGCGCAAUGGGCGAAAGCCUGACGCAGCGACGCCGCGUGGGGGACGAAGGUCUUCGGAUUGUAAACCCCUUUCGACCGGAAAGAACCGCCAUUGGGUGAAUAAUCCAGUGGCCUGACGGUACCGGGAGAAGAAGCCACGGCUAACUCUGUGCCAGCAGCCGCGGUAAGACAGAGGUGGCGAGCGUUGUUCGGAUUUACUGGGCGUAAAGCGUGCGUAGGCGGUUGUGUGUGUCCGAUGUGAAAUCCCGGGGCUUAACCCCGGAGCUGCAUCGGAAACUGCGCGACUUGAGGAUAGGAGGGGGAAGCGGAAUUCCCGGUGUAGCGGUGAAAUGCGUAGAUAUCGGGAAGAACACCGGUGGCGAAGGCGGCUUCCUGGCCUAUUUCUGACGCUGAGGUACGAAAGCGUGGGGAGCAAACAGGAUUAGAUACCCCGGUAGUC